AUCGAGUUGACGAGUUUGAAACAGGACGAAACGUGCGUUCUGGAU
rnacentral:hammerhead_ribozyme from 1 species